GAUGAACGCUGGCGGCGUGCCUAAUACAUGCAAGUCGAGCGAACGGACCAGAAGCUUGCUUUUCUGAUGUUAGCGGCGGACGGGUGAGUAACACGUGGAUAACCUACCUAUAAGACUGGGAUAACUUCGGGAAACCGGAGCUAAUACCGGAUAAUAUUUUGAACCGCAUGGUUCAAAAGUGAAAGACGGUCUUGCUGUCACUUAUCGAUGGAUCCGCGCUGCAUUAGCUAGUUGGUAAGGUAACGGCUUACCACGGCAACGAUGCAUAGCCGACCUGAGGGGGGGGUAGGCCACACGGGAAGUGAGACAGGGUCCAGGCGCCUACGGGACGCAGCAGUAGGGAAUCUGCCGCAACGGGCGAAAGCCUGACGGAGCAAGGCGGCGUGAGAGACAAAGGUCUUCGGUUCGUAAAGCCCUGUUACGAGGUAAGAACAUAUGUGUAAGUAACUGAGCACAGCGUGACGGUAACUAAUCAGAAAGCAACGGCUAACUACGUG
rnacentral:rRNA from 1 species